AUGAGAGAGCAGAGUGAUGACUGAAGCACUCAGAGAGACGGAGAGAGUGGAGAAAAGGAAGGGGAUUCCAGCAGGGCCUGAGCAAACAAACGUGGAGAUUACGUUCAAAGGGAAAACCAAAGGCGCCCUCGCAUCUGGCCGGACCCCCGGUAGUGCCAGGAAACAUGCCAGGAAUGCAAGGAAUGGCCCAGUGAACGAUAAGGAGGAAAUUCCCCGCAGCAGACUGGACUGAAAGCCCAGAAACAACAGGACGAGCAAUGGGGAGAAAUGAAAUGGAUGACGACAAAGAGUGGGAUGGGAGGGGAUGGAACAGGAUGCCUGGACAGACACAGGUCUAGGUUUGACACUAAAGACAAUAAACACAGUGACAGAGGCUAUCCUUGGAAACAGAGAGGGAUGACGACGGUGGGGUGGUGACACGUGAAGAGAGAAAAGAAAGGACUGGGUUUGGAUGACUGGAGAGAGAAUGAUGACACGAUCAUUGAGAAAAGCUAAUCACCAGUGAAAAAUGAAAUGAUGCUCAGUGGCGUCCCAAAGGAGGGGCCAGGGAGGGCCAUGACCCUGCUGAUAUAAUGGCUGGCUGCCUCUCGUUAGCAGCUAGAACUCAUAGGAUGUAGUGAACUCAACAAUCACACAUGGGGCGAAUAAAAUGACACCAAUGCUAUAUGCUGUAACAUAAGUAGUAACAGUUUUUAUUUAGCAGAGGAGGGUUAUGUUUGGGAUGGCUCUAGUGCGUCUUUAAGCACGCUUUUUGGGCCGGCCCAAAAAAUCCUGGACACAGAAAUGGUGAAAACAGUUUGGUUAACAGUUUUUAAAGUCCAGUCUAACCUGGACUUUAAGAGUCUCUACUCAAGAGUCGUUAAGAAGCUGUGGCGUGCUCAUUUUUUAAGCUAGUGCAAAGGUAUUGGCAUCUUGUGAAACUAGACAACCUAAGGCAACCAUGUUGGCAUGGCUUGUCGGGAAGGGGACUAAAUAAUGGUUCAAAAUUAGGCUAAAUUUUCGCAAGGGACUGGGAUAGCCAUUUUCACAGGGGUCUCUUGAACUCUCACCUCAAGAUACUGGAAUUAAAUUGGGUUUACGGGUGCCCACAAGUCUCCACUUUACUUGAGAAGGCUCGGUACCAGUAAAUGUUUUGUCCCUCACUAUCAAUGUAGUGUCUUUUUAAGGAAAAGGACAAUGAAGAACAAUGAAUGACUUCACGUGUAUAGAUACAUGCAGAGGUGGGAACAAGUCAUUGUUUUGCAAGUCACAGGUAAGAUUCAAGUCU